rnacentral:lncRNA from 1 species
CUUUGGGAUAACAUGUUGUGUUUUCUGUUGCCACAGGACUCACCUGCAGGAAAGCUUGGUGCUCCUGAGAAGAUCCAACCACAGGCAGAAAAGAUGAGCAGACCAAAAAGCACCACAAUGGACUCACCUGCAGGAAAGCUUGGUGCUGCUGAGAAGAUCCAACCACAGGCAGAAAGGAUGAACAGACCAAAAGGCACCAUAAUGGUAGGGAAGGAGGGCAGUGUUGGAAAUUUCACCAUUGGGAAAUUUCAUACUUGAAAAAUUCCCUAUUGAUAGUGGGUCUUGGCUAUUGGAAUGUGAACCCCUUUGGCAUGAGAGUUUCCCCCUCCUCCCUUCUUAAGAUUACUUUAGGACAGAAACCUUUUGCUGAACAAUGGAAAGGACUUUGACCUAUGCUUAAGCAUAGAACAGGAAUUUCUUUGAGUCAUGAUUGAUUUUAGAAUUGAUACAAUGGAGAUACUUGGAAUCAAUCUCCACCCUACUCAGUCCUAACAGGAUUAAGGAAGGGCUGCAGCAUAGAUCAAAAUUUAAUUAUUCCAAUCUCUACCCUACUCAAGUUAACAGGAUUUAGGAAGGGCUGUAGCAAAGUAUCAAAGAUUUAAUUAUUUGAAAAUAUGACCUUCAACAGACAUGUGCAAAGCCAGAGACCUCUGGGCAGUCCUGGGUUAAGCUAGAGCCUCCAUUGGCACAGGGAAAUUGAUGGACAGUGAUUGGUAGAUGUGAGAACUGAGGGGAGGCAACUUGGAUGGUUUCCUUAAAGAGAGAGGGGUCUGAAGACUCAGGGGAUGGUUUUAGGAGUUUGUUGGAGUGGUUGCGGUGUGCUCUGAGAAGCUUGCUCUGAAGGAAGCUGAAAGUGGGGCUCUGAGACUGUUUCUCCAUUUUGGUCACGUGAGUAAUAGGGACUGAUCUCCUUUCUUUGCCCCAGCUAUCUAAGGGCUUGGGCCUUUUGGCCCAGCCUAAACAGAAGGGGUAUUUAAGCCCUAUUCCUUUCUCUCCCCUUUCUCUCUACCUCUAUCUCUCUAUCUCUAAUUCCUUUCUUCCUCCUGUUUGUAAUUAAAACUCCAUAAAAGGUUGACGGCUGACUUGAGUUUUCAUUUAGGAAUUACAUAGCUGAAUUCCUUGGCGACCUUAAAUUAAUAUAUAUCAGUCUUUUAAAAGUUAUUUCCUUCUCACAGCAGUGAAGGACAAUCACUUUGUAAACCUAGAUACACAUCCUUUAUCACACAGGUAUCCCUCCUCUAUAAUUAGAUAAAGGCUGAAAUCCUAUAACAAAGCUUAUUUGUAAGCUUGCUUCACUAUAUCCAACCUAACUAUACUGCUACCAAAGCCAGGUUGCACUUUCUCUCAUACUCACUCCAGAAAAGGCCCCUUAUUUCUCCAUGUAAGCUACCCUUUAAAAAAUAUACCUUUAAUAGGAGCCUGAGAUUCACCACCUAGACCUUGGGACUAUGUCAGGAUCUGCUUGACAAAUUAUUUUUGGGUCAACAAACCGGGAUGAGAAAAAUGAUUCUGGGAUUACAGGAGGACCCAACUGACAGACUGACAGAUGGAAACGUAGAUAUCCUCUUGCUGACCAGUGACAAAGUUCAAUGGUUUGGGGUACACACUUUGUAGGAAAAAUGACAUAGAAGACAAUGGUUAGAAGACAAUGAUUAGUAAUGAUUUAUAAGAGAGCACAAUGGAUUUAGUUUACCUCAGUGGUUCUGAAAAGAGUUUUCUAUAGUGAUAAUUCAAUCUGCCAAUGUGUAACCAUCUAACAAAGUUUCUCACAGAAUUCUUGCACCAGUGAUUUCUUGGAAGAACAUCUAAUAUUUGUUAAGGAGUAAAGUUUGCUUUUCUCAUACUAAGGAGUAGGCUGCAUGUUUAGCAACUCCUAAACUAUGACUGUGAUUUUACUGAGACCUAUUCUCACUACUGGGAGCUUCAUUUGCUCCUUUUUUAUUCAAAUGUAACAAAUGAAGGCAUGGUAAGUGAGUGUAUGAUUUGUAUGAAUUGUGUAAGGCUGGAAAGCUAAAUUCCAAUUCUAUUUGCUUGGAAAUGGAGCUUUUGAAAUUUUAUUUUUUGCUAGGGUCUUUUUUCAGAAUGUCUCAAAAUAUGUUGUGUGUGCUGACCAUAGUGCUUUGUUAUAGGCAGACAUUUCUCCACAGCUUUAGCAUAGGCGCUAAGAUGACUUCCACUUAGGGGUCUUUCUUGGCCUCAAAUCAGGUGGUCCAAUCCUAGGGUUACUAAGACUGCCUCCCCAACAAGACAUUUCCUCUGAACUUUUGAAUAGCCUUAGUUGAAUUGUUAGGCUUGCUAAGGCUUUCAUUGAGACUCAAGUUCCUUUUGCCUUUAUGACAAACAUCACCUAACACAACUUAAGAUAGCUACUCUUAUUAGGGCUGAUUCUUUUAGCACCCAAUUCUUGGUUCCAUAAGCCAAGCAAAUAUUGACUUCUCCUUUACUUAUAAGUCAAAUUUGUUUAAUUUCUAAGUGUUCAUGCUAUUAUGUUGCUAAGGAUUAUGUUUAGCAUUUAUCUUUUCUUCCUAAUCAAAUAUGCAGUGUUUGGUGUAAGAUGUUUGUGCUAAGUCUUGCAAAGUGUGGAUCUAUUAUGCUGUGCUAUCUUCUGGUGGAAUAAGUGUGAGGUUAAUUGAGCUAAUAGAAGGGGAAAUACACUUUGAAAACUUACAUUUGAUACAAAAAUAAUUAUAGCUAAUAUCAGAAUACAAGGCUCUACAUCAUUAUAAAUUACAUUUUUCAAGGGAGCUGAAUCCCAACAAUAGUUAAGAUUGAUCAGUCUUGGGAAGGCUUGCCAUCUCCAGGAAUUGUUCUGCCAUGUGAACUGUUCUUUCUUUUGGCUUGUCUCCAAAUCAUGGGCUUUGGUGACUUGAGUCUUCAGAAUAGUCAUCUGGAUUUUUCAUAUUUGGCUAUUCCUGAAAGAUUCUCUGCUGUGGGUGUUCAUUUCCUGUGUAAAUAAAAACAAAACCUCAAUUCUGGGUUGUUUUUUG